rnacentral:rRNA from 1 species
AAUGAACGUUGGCGGCGUGGAUUAGGCAUGCAAGUCGAGCGAGAACCCGCAAGGGGGACAGCGGCAAACGGGGUAGUAACGGGUAGGUGACGUACCCUUCGGUCGGGGAUAGCCACGGGAAACUGUGGGUAAUACCCGAUAACCUCUUCGAACGUGAUGGUUUGGAGAGCAAAGGUGUGAUUCCACCGGAGGAGCGGCCUGCUUCGUAUUAGCUAGUUGGUGAGGUAACGGCUCACCAAGGCGACGANGCGUAGGGGGUGUGAGAGCAUGA